rnacentral:rRNA from 1 species
CCUACGGGAGGCAGCAGUGAGGAAUAUUGGUCAAUGGGCGCGAGCCUGAACCAGCCAAGUAGCGUGAAGGAUGACUGCCCUACGGGUUGUAAACUUCGUUUAUAAAGGAAUAAAGUGAGGCAAGUGUGCCUUUUUGUAUGUACUUUAUGAAUAAGGAUCGGCUAACUCCGUGCCAGCAGCCGCGGUAAUACGGAGGAUCCGAGCGUUAUCCGGAUUUAUUGGGUUUAAAGGGAGCGUAGAUGGGUUGUUAAGUCAGUUGUGAAAGUUUGCGGUUCAACCGUAAAAUUGCAAUUGAUACUGGCAGCCUUGAGUACAGUUGAGGUAGGCGGAAUUCGGGGUGUAGCGGUGAAAUGCGUAGAUAUCACGAAGAACUCCGAUUGCGAAGGCAGCUUACUAAACUGCCACUGACAUUGAUGCUCGAAAGUGUGGGUAUCAAACAGGAUUAGAUACCCGAGUAGUC